CUAGUAGGCCAAACCACGUUGAAAACACGCAAUCCCGUCCGAUUUAGCAAGUUAAGCAACGUUGGACCUGGUCAGUACUGUAUUUUAGUACAAUCUGAAAAUGCGUUGAUGGA
rnacentral:rRNA from 1 species